rnacentral:misc_RNA from 1 species
AACAAGGCGUACCUGCGGACCUGCGGAAGGAUCAUUACCAGAGUGCCUUCAGGCUCUCCAACCCACUGUGAACAUACCUACGUUCCCCCGGCGGGCCCAGCGCGCGGCGGCUCCGGCCGCCCGCGUCCGCCGAGGGCAUCUCAAACCCGAAUUUAUUCGUGUCUUCUGAGGGGCGAAAGCCCGUAAAACAAAAUGAAUCAAAACUUUUAACAACGGAUCU